rnacentral:rRNA from 1 species
CGGGUGCGUAACACGUGAACAACCUGCCCUCGUGUGGGGGAUAGCCAUGCUAACGCGUGGGUAAUACCGCAUACGUUCUUUUGGGGGAGUCCCUGAGAGAAGAAAGCUCCGGCGCACGGGGAGGGGUUCGCGGCCUAUCAGCUAGUUGGUGCGGGUAAUGGCCCACCAAGGCGACGACGGGUAGCUGGUCUGAGAGGAUGGCCAGCCACAUUGGGACUGAGAGACGGCCCAG